rnacentral:rRNA from 1 species
GAUGAACGCUGGCGGCGUGCCUAAUACAUGCAAGUCGAGCGAAGCGGGGACGGGGGAGUAACACGUGGAUAACAUCCUAUAAGACUGGGAUAACAUCGGGAAAACGGAACUAAACCGGCUAAUUAUAGAUGGAUACGCGCUGCAUUAGGUAGUGGGGAAUGUAACGGCUUACGAAGGCAACGAUGCAUAGCCGACCUGAGAGGGUGAUCGGCCACACUGGAACUGAGACGCGGUCCAGACUCCUACGGGAGGCAGCAGUAGGGAAUCUUCCGCAAUGGGCGAAAGCCUGACGGAGCAACGCCGCGUGAGUGAUGAAGGUCUUCGGAUCGUAAAACGCUGUUAUUAGUGAAGCGGUACCUAAUCAGAAAGCCACGGCUAACUACGUGCCAGCAGCCGCGGUAAUAC